rnacentral:rRNA from 1 species
UAGGGAAUCUUCGGCAAUGGACGAAAGUCUGACCGAGCAACGCCGCGUGAGUGAAGAAGGUUUUCGGAUCGUAAAACUCUGUUGUUAGAGAAGAACAAGGACGUUAGUAACUGAACGUCCCCUGACGGUAUCUAACCAGAAAGCCACGGCUAACUACGUGCCAGCAGCCGCGGUAAUACGUAGGUGGCAAGCGUUGUCCGGAUUUAUUGGGCGUAAAGCGAGCGCAGGCGGUUUCUUAAGUCUGAUGUGAAAGCCCCCGGCUCAACCGGGGAGGGUCAUUGGAAACUGGGAGACUUGAGUGCAGAAGAGGAGAGUGGAAUUCCAUGUGUAGCGGUGAAAUGCGUAGAUAUAGGGAGGAACACCAGUGGCGAAGGCGGCUCUCUGGUCUGUAACUGACGCUGAGGCUGGAAAGCGUGGGGAGCAAACAGG